rnacentral:rRNA from 1 species
AGUGAACGCUGGCGGUAGGCCUAACACAUGCAAGUCGAACGGCAGCACAGUAAGAGCUUGCUCUUACGGGUGGCGAGUGGCGGACGGGUGAGGAAUACAUCGGAAUCUACUUUUUCGUGGGGGAUAACGUAGGGAAACUUACGCUAAUACCGCAUACGACCUACGGGUGAAAGCAGGGGAUCUUCGGACCUUGCGCGAUUGAAUGAGCCGAUGUCGGAUUAGCUAGUUGGCGGGGUAAAGGCCCACCAAGGCGACGAUCCGUAGCUGGUCUGAGAGGAUGAUCAGCCACACUGGAACUGAGACACGGUCCAGACUCCUACGGGAGGCAGCAGUGGGGAAUAUUGGACAAUGGGCGCAAGCCUGAUCCAGCCACACCGCGUGGGUGAAGAAGGCCUUCGGGUUGUAAAGCCCUUUUGUAGGGAAAGAAAAGCAGCAGGUUAAUACCCCGCUGUUCUGACGGUACCCAAAGAAUAAGCACCGGCUAACUUCGUG